UUCUGAUACUUAAACUUAAUUACGCUUCCGAAAAUGAAUAAUACGCGUGGGAUAAUCGUGUGAUAUCUUAAAAUAUUGGUGAUAAGAGGUAAAAAACUCUAAUCCUAACUCUCUUCUUUCCUCUUCCAAUCUCAUAGCCGACUCUCACCCUAACCUCACUUCUCUCUCUAAGUUUGUCGCUUCGCCGCUUGCCAUCACAGGCGUCAGUGUUGCUUUUCCAGUUCUAAGAAUCUUAUUAUUCCAGACUUUAACAUCAUGAAAUUUCAAAGCGAAAACCUUAUACUUAAAAUCUCAAUUUCGAACAUUGACCAUAAACAUUAUUUUCCAUUCUUUCAAUUCAAUUCUCUAUAUUUUUUCUAAUCCAUGUUCCUCGAUAAUGUCAUCUUUAUUCUUCACUACCAACAGCAUCUCAAUUUCAGUUUCAGAAGACGAAUCCGACGAACUUGGUUAAAUGCAAGUUCCAGGUCAAAAGUCCUAGAAACAUGGCCACCAUCGACUCAAGACCGAGUUGACUUAACUACUCAUUAUUGGACACUCCUCAUUAUUCCUUCCAACUGUUGUGAUUCAAAUUUCAAGGCCACCAAGAUCGAUAUAAAAUCUGGAUCGGUCAUCAACUCUUGAAUCCCUUAAGUUUAUUUUUAAAGCACUCUACCCUGUUGGGGCUCUCCCUGACUACCAAGGUCAUUCUCACUACUAGGGCUCCUGAAUUUCUUAGCAUUUUAUUUCAUUUUUGUUAUUCAGCUAUUUACGUAGAUGUAAGGCAGGUGCAAGCAAUAUGUGAAGUUUGGGUAUGAAAUCAUCACCACUUUCUUAGGUUUGAAUUCUCGACUCUCAAUAAUAACUAAAGAGUUCUUUUGUGUGCUUUUAUUUAUUUAUUUAUUU
rnacentral:lncRNA from 1 species